ACUACGGGUGGCAGCAGUGAGGAAUAUUGGUCAAUGGGCGCGAGCCUGAACCAGCCAAGUAGCGUGAAGGAUGACUGCCCUACGGGUUGUAAACUUCUUUUAUAAAGGAAUAAAGUGAGGCACGUGUGCCUUUUUGUAUGUACUUUAUGAAUAAGGAUCGGCUAACUCCGUGCCAGCAGCCGCGGUAAUACGGAGGAUCCGAGCGUUAUCCGGUGUUAUUGGUUUUAAAGGGAGCGUAGAAGGGUUUUUAAGUCAGUUUUGAAAGUUUGCGGCUCAAACGUAAAAUUGCAAUUGAUACUGGCAGUCUUGAGUACAGUUGAGGUAGGCGGAAUGCGUGGUGUAGCGGUCAAAUGCUUAGAUAUCACGAAGAACUCCGAUUGCGAAGGCAGCUUACUAAACUGCCACUGACAUUGAUGCUCGAAAGUGUGGGUAUCAAACAGGAUGAGAUACCCCAGUAGUC
rnacentral:rRNA from 1 species